GCAAAAAAUCUCUUUUUAAUUGACCCAACCGUGUUCUUAAAAAUAAAAAAAAUAAAAAACCCCCAAAUCAUUUAAAAAACUUGACCCGUCCCCCUUUUUUCCCCUUAUUUCCCAAAUCUGAACUCACUCUCUCUCAAAAUGUCUCUCGCUCGACUCUCUCGCUCAAAUCUCACUGUCUCUCUCACUAGACUCUCACUUUGAAGAAGAUUUAAAAAUUUUGAUCGAUUGUUGAUGAAGAUUUGAAGAUUUCAAUCUGCUGUUGAUGAAGAUUUCGAUCGAUCCAUAAUCGAGAUUCAUAAUCGGUCAAGCCCAAACCUAACUCAGCUAGCGUAUAAGGACUUCUGAGAUACUUAAUGUUGACAGUUAUUUCAUUGAUUUAAGGUUAGACAACGACCUCAAUGCCUUCAUUUCAAACUAAUCGAUGCGUGUUUUCUCACUAUCUAUAACUGAGUUGUAGGAUUUUAAAUUAGUUUUAGCAUGAUUGGAUUGAUUGAUUGUGAUUAAA